rnacentral:rRNA from 1 species
UACGAAGGGGGCUAGCGUUGCUCGGAAUUACUGGGCGUAAAGCGCGCGUAGGCGGGCUGUUAAGUCGGGGGUGAAAGCCUGGGGCUCAACCUCAGACUUGCCUUCGAUACUGACAGACUGGAGUAUGAUAGAGGGUGGUGGAAUGUGGGGUGUAGAGGUGAAAUGCGUAGAUAUUCCGCAGAACACCAGUGGCGAAGGCAGAUGGCUAGGUCGUUGCUGACGCUGAGGCGCGAAAGCGUGGGUAGCAAACAGG